rnacentral:rRNA from 1 species
AGGAUGAACGCUGGCGGCGUGCCUAAUACAUGCAAGUCGAGCGGUAAGGCCACUUCGGUGGUACACGAGCGGCGGGCGGCUGAGUAACACGUAGGAACGUACCCCAAACUGAGGGAUAAGCACCAGAAAAUGGUGUCUAAUACCGCAUGUGCUCUUCGGAGUAAAGCUACGGCGGUUUGGGAACGGCCUGCGCAAGAUUAGCUUGUUGGUGAGGUAAUAGCUCACCAAGGCGACGAUCUUUAGCUGGUCUGAGAGGAUGACCAGCCAGACUGGAACUGAGAACGGUCCAGACUCCUACGGGAGGCAGCAGUAGGGAAUUUUCCACAAUGGACGAAAGUCUGAUGGAGCAACGCCGCGUGCAGGAUGAAGGCCUUAGGGUUGUAAACUGCUUUUAUCUGUGACGAAUAUGACGGUAGCAGAUGAAUAAGGAUCGGCUAACUCCGUGCCAGCAGCCGACGGUAA